AGAGUUUGAUCCUGGCUCAAGGAUGAACGCUGGCGGCGUGCCUAAUACAUGCAAGUCGAGCGAGAAUUUUUCAAAUGACACUUCGGUUGAUUUUUGAAAAGGACAGCGGCGGACGGGUGAGUAACGCGUAGGCAACCUGCCCCUGACAGAGGGAUAGCCAUUGGAAACGAUGAUUAAAACCUCAUAAUGCCGAAGGAACACAUGUUUCAUCGGUCAAAGAUUUAUCGGUCAGGGAUGGGCCUGCGUCUGAUUAACUAGUUGGUGAGGUAACGGCUCACCAAGGUGACGAUCAGUAGCCGACCUGAGAGGGUGAUCGGCCACAUUGGAACUGAGACACGGUCCAAACUUCUACGGAAGGCAGCAGUAGGGAAUCUUGCACAAUGGGCGAAAGCCUGAUGCAGCAACGCCGCGUGAAGGAUGAAGGCCUUCGGGUUGUAAACUUCUGUUCUUAGGGAAGAAGAAAGUGACGGUACCUAAGGAGAAAGCCCCGGCUAACUACGUGCCAGCAGCCGCGGUAAUACGUAGGGGGCAAGCGUUAUCCGGAAUUAUUGGGCGUAAAGAGUGCGUAGGUGGUUAUCUAAGCGUAAGGUUUAAGCGUGCAGCUCAACUGCAUCUCGCCUUGCGAACUGGACUACUUGAGUGCAGGAGGGGAAAGCGGAAUUCCUAGUGUAGCGGUGAAAUGCGUAGAUAUUAGGAGGAACACCAGCGGCGAAGGCGGCCUGCUGGGCUCUAACUGACGCUGAGGCUCGAAAGUGUGGGGAGCAAACAGGAUUAGAUACCCUGGUAGUCCACACUGUAAACGAUGAUUACUAGGUGUUGGGGGAUUGACCCCCUCAGUGCCGCAGUUAACACAAUAAGUAAUCCACCUGGGGAGUACGACCGCAAGGUUGAAACUCAAAGGAAUUGACGGGGGCCCGCACAAGCAGUGGAGUAUGUGGUUUAAUUCGAAGCAACGCGAAGAACCUUACCAGGUCUUGACAUCCGAUGCAUAACACAGAGAUGUGUGAAAUCCUUCGGGACAUCGAGACAGGUGGUGCAUGGUUGUCGUCAGCUCGUGUCGUGAGAUGUUGGGUUAAGUCCCGCAACGAGCGCAACCCUUAUUGAUAGUUACUAACGUGUAAAGGCGAGGACUCUAUCAGGACUGCCGGGGACAACUCGGAGGAAGGUGGGGACGACGUCAAAUCAUCAUGCCCCUUAUGACCUGGGCUACACACGUGCUACAAUGGCCGUUACAGAGAGGAGCAAAGCCGUAAGGCUGAGCAGAUCUCAAAAAAGCGGUCUCAGUUCGGAUUGUGGGCUGCAACCCGCCCACAUGAAGUCGGAGUUGCUAGUAAUCGCGGAUCAGCAUGCCGCGGUGAAUACGUUCCCGGGCCUUGCACACACCGCCCGUCA
rnacentral:rRNA from 1 species